rnacentral:rRNA from 1 species
AGUUAAGUACAGAUGUAGAAACGGCCCGGGGACCUUUAACCGUACGGUAAUUGCUAUUUAGUAAACGUGGCGAGGCUAGAGUCUUGUAGAGGGGGGUAGGAAUUUCAGGUGUAGCGGUGAAAUGCGUAGAGAUCUGAAGGAAUACCAGUGGCGAAGGCGGCCCCCUGGACAAAGACUGACGCUCAGAUGCGAAAGCGUGGGGAGCAAACAGGAUUAGAUACCCUGGUAG